UACGUAGGGUGCGAGCGUUAAUCGGAAUUACUGGGCGUAAAGCGUGCGCAGGCGGUUUUGUAAGCCAGAUGUGAAAUCCCCGGGCUUAACCUGGGAAUGGCAUUUGGGACUGCAAGGCUCGAGUGCGGCAGAGGAGACUGGAAUUCCUGGUGUAGCAGUGAAAUGCGUAGAUAUCAGGAGGAACACCGAUGCGAAGGCAGGUCUCUGGGCUGACACUGACGCUCAUGCG
rnacentral:rRNA from 1 species